UGGUGUAGCUCAAUGGCAGAGCAACUGAUUUGUAAUCAGUAGGUUGGGGGUUCGACUCCCUUCACC
rnacentral:tRNA from 1 species